CCUACGGGUGGCAGCAGUGGGGAAUAUUGGACAAUGGGGGGAACCCUGAUCCAGCCAUGCCGCGUGUGUGAAGAAGGCCCUCGGGUUGUAAAGCACUUUCAGUGAGGAAGAACGCCUGGUGGUUAAUACCCAUCAGGAAAGACAUCACUCACAGAAGAAGCACCGGCUAACUCCGUGCCAGCAGCCGCGGUAAUACGGAGGGUGCGAGCGUUAAUCGGAAUUACUGGGCGUAAAGCGCGCGUAGGUGGCUUGAUAAGCCGGUUGUGAAAGCCCCGGGCUCAACCUGGGAACGGCAUCCGGAACUGUCAAGCUAGAGUGCAGGAGAGGAAGGUAGAAUUCCCGGUGUAGCGGUGAAAUGCGUAGAGAUCGGGAGGAAUACCAGUGGCGAAGGCGGCCUUCUGGACUGACACUGACACUGAGGUGCGAAAGCGUGGGUAGCAAAUAGGAUUAGAUACCCCUGUAGUC
rnacentral:rRNA from 1 species